rnacentral:rRNA from 1 species
GACGAACGCUGGCGGCGUGCCUAAUACAUGCAAGUAGAACGCUGAAGGAGGAGCUUGCUUCUCUGGAUGAGUUGCGAACGGGUGAGUAACGCGUAGGUAACCUGCCUGGUAGCGGGGGAUAACUAUUGGAAACGAUAGCUAAUACCGCAUAAGAGUAGAUGUCGCAUGACAUUUGCUUAAAAGGUGCAAUUGCAUCACUACCAGAUGGACCUGCGUUGUAUUAGCUAGUUGGUGAGGUAACGGCUCACCAAGGCAACGAUACAUAGCCGACCUGAGAGGGUGAUCGGCCACACUGGGACUGAGACACGGCCCAGACUCCUACGGGAGGCAGCAGUAGGGAAUCUUCGGCAAUGGACGGAAGUCUGACCGAGCAACGCCGCGUGAGUGAAGAAGGUUUUCGGAUCGUAAAGCUCUGUUGUAAGAGAAGAACGAGUGUGAGAGUGGAAAGUUCACACUGUGACAGUAUCUUACCAGAAAGGGACGGCUAACUACGUG